UAAUUCGAAGCAACGCGAAGAUCCUUACCAGGUCUUGACAUCCUUUGACAAUCCUAGAGAUAGGACGUCCCCUUCGGGGGCAGAGUGACAGGUGGUGCAUGGUUGUUGUCAGCUCGUGUCGUGAGAUGUUGGGUUAAGUCCCGCAAUGAGUCCAACCCUGGAUUUUCGUUACCAGCAUUCAGUUGGGCACUGUAAGGUGACUGCCGGUGACAAACCGGAGGAAGGUGGGGAUGACGUCAAAUCAUCAUGCCCCUUAUGACCUGGGCUACACACGUGCUACACUGGACAGAACAAAGGGCAGCGAAACCGCGAGGUUAAGCCAAUCCCACAAAUCUGUUGUCAGUUCGGAUCGCAGUCUGCAACUAGACUGCGUGAAGCUGGAAUCGUUAGUAAUCGCGGAUCAGCAGGCCGCGGGGAACCGUUCCCGGGCCUUGUACACACCUCUAAUGGCACCACGAGAGUUUUAACACCCGAAGCCGGUACCGUUCCUC
rnacentral:rRNA from 1 species